rnacentral:rRNA from 1 species
CACGUAGGGCGCAAGCGUUGUCCGGAAUUAUUGGGCGUAAAGAGCUCGUAGGCGGUCUGUCACGUCGGCUGUGAAAUCCCGAGGCUCAACCUCGGGUCUGCAGUCGAUACGGGCAAACUAGAGUAUUGCAGGGGGGACUGGAAUUCCUGGUGUAGCGGUGAAAUGCGCAGAUAUCAGGAGGAACACCGGUGGCGAAGGCGGGUCUCUGGGCCGAUGACUGACGCUGGAGGUGCGAAAGCGUGGGGGAGCAAACAGG